GGCAUUCAACUUACAUAGACAAUUGUGUGUUUGUUUUUACUUUAUUAACUAUUUUCUUAAAUGACACAUCCAAUAUCGUGUUCCUGAAUCAUUAAAACCAGUGCAUAGUUUUGGCAAAAACAAUAUAAUAUUUCCCUUUUCAGUUUUGCAUUUCUUGCACCUUUGCAUCAAGAAAACAAAAAUCUUGGCUGUGUCUCUAGAUAUAUAUUACAAGCAUGAGAAAGAAACAUAACACAGGAAUAGCAGUGAACUACAACAGAGAUGAAGAACAAAGGAGGUCAGCAGAUUAGUAGUACAGUCGAUUCCUGAUAAGCAAAUAAUCCUAGUUUACACAAUGCACACUGUAUUCACUUAUCAGGAAUGGUUUAAUGAAAAGUCUUGCUUAUUAGAACCAUCACAGUCAUUACAGUUAGUACCUACUGUAUUUAACAUGCGGGAUCACUUAGAUUCUGCAAUCAUGCAUGUAUCAUUGUACACUGAACUACUACAUUAAACUACUUUAUAACAGAAGGAAUGCAUUUUCUUCAAGAAUGCAAUCUUCAAAACUGCCUGUCGGUUAAUAUUUUGUGAGGGAAUUAGAUUUCCAAAAGUUAUUUUUAAAAUUAGAAAUAAUUAGGCAGGGCCUAAAAUUUGAAACCCUAUGCUACUAUCCAGGCCUUAAAAUCCACUCUAAGCCAAAGCAUACUCACCAAUGAUAAAUUUCUACUAGCUAUGGCUAGGGGCGAGUGGAGAUUUUUAGCCCUGAUUAUAAUUAUAAUUACAAAUUCUGGGUAGUAAGAUCUUAUUUGCCCCCCAUUUGUUAAAUCUAACAAUAUUCAUAAAUAAAAUGAAUAAUCUAAACUAUUUCUGUACAUUCCAUAUGCAAAAAUAUAUGAUAUAUUUUGUAUAAAAGAUAUUACAUGGAAUUCUUUAAUAUAAAUUGACUUAUCGGAAGGCCAUCUGUAUACUACAUCUGUAGAAGCGCGAGUAGUUCAUUUGUGGAAAAUGUACUCCAAAACAUCUAACAGAGCAAUCUUAGUUUUCUCUGUUAUACAAAUGUAUAUCAUAUUUAACCAAAUUAACUAUGAUUAACAUAUUUAAACCACUCUUCCUGGAAUCCUUAUAAUUAAUCUUCAAAAUUAAGUAAUUUCAAUAUAUACAUGUAUAUAAAAUUUCAAUAUAUAUGUGUAUAAGAUGAAAUUACUAUA